rnacentral:rRNA from 1 species
GACGAACGCUGGCGGCGUGCUUAACACAUGCAAGUCGAACGGAAAGGCCCUGCUUUUGUGGGGUGCUCGAGUGGCGAACGGGUGAGUAACACGUGAGUAACCUGCCCUUGACUUUGGGAUAACUUCAGGAAACUGGGGCUAAUACCGGAUAGGAGCUCCUGCUGCAUGGUGGGGGUUGGAAAGUUUCGGCGGUUGGGGAUGGACUCGCGGCUUAUCAGCCUGUUGGUGGGGUAGUGGCUUACCAAGGCUUUGACGGGUAGCCGGCCUGAGAGGGUGACCGGCCACAUUGGGACUGAGAUACGGCCCAGACGCCUACGGGAGGCAGCAGUGGGGAAUAUUGCACAAUGGGCGGAAGCCUGAUGCAGCAACGCCGCGUGCGGGAUGACGGCCUUCGGGUUGUAAACCGCUUUCGCCUGUGACGAAGCGUGAGUGACGGUAAUGGGUAAAGAAGCACCGGCUAACUACGUG